rnacentral:rRNA from 1 species
UAGGGAAUCUUCCACAAUGGACGAAAGUCUGAUGGAGCAACGCCGCGUGAGUGAAGAAGGGUUUCGGCUCGUAAAACUCUGUUGUUAAAGAAGAACAUAUCUGAGAGUAACUGUUCAGGUAUUGACGGUAUUUAACCAGAAAGCCACGGCUAACUACGUCGCCA